GACGAACGCUGGCGGCGUGCUUAACACAUGCAAGUCGAACGGAAAGGCCCUGCUUUUGUGGGGUGCUCGAGUGGCGAACGGGUGAGUAACACGUGAGUAACCUGCCCUUGACUUUGGGAUAACUUCAGGAAACUGGGGCUAAUACCGGAUAGGAGCUCCUGCUGCAGGGUGGGGGUUGGAAAGUUUCGGCGGUUGGGGAUGGACUCGCGGCUUAUCAGCUUGUUGGUGGGGUAGUGGCUUACCAAGGCUUUGACGGGUAGCCGGCCUGAGAGGGUGACCGGCCACAUUGGGACUGAGAUACGGCCCAGACUCCUACGGGAGGCAGCAGUGGGGAAUAUUGCACAAUGGGCGGAAGCCUGAUGCAGCAACGCCGCGUGCGGGAUGACGGCCUUCGGGUUGUAAACCGCUUUCGCCUGUGACGAAGCGUGAGUGGCGGUAAUGGGUAAAGAAGCACCGGCUAACUACGUG
rnacentral:rRNA from 1 species